rnacentral:rRNA from 1 species
AACGAACGCUGGCGGCAGGCUUAACACAUGCAAGUCGAGCGCCCCGCAAGGGGAGCGGCAGACGGGUGAGUAACGCGUGGGAAUCUACCCAUCUCUACGGAAUAACGCAUGGAAACGUGUGCUAAUACCGUAUACGUCCUUCGGGAGAAAGAUUUAUCGGAGAUGGAUGAGCCCGCGUUGGAUUAGCUAGUUGGUGGGGUAAAGGCCUACCAAGGCGACGAUCCAUAGCUGGUCUGAGAGAAUGAUCAGCCACACUGGGACUGAGACACGGCCCAGACUCCUACGGGAGGCAGCAGUGGGGAAUAUUGGACAAUGGGCGCAAGCCUGAUCCAGCCAUGCCGCGUGAGUGAUGAAGGCCCUAGGGUUGUAAAGCUCUUUCGCCGGUGAAGAUAGUGACGGUAACCGGAGAAGAAGCCCCGGCUAACUUCGUGCCAGCCGCCGCCGUAAAAC